GAUGAACGCUGGCGGCGUGCUUAACACAUGCAAGUCGAACGGAAAGGCCCUGCUUGCAGGGUACUCGAGUGGCGAACGGGUGAGUAACACGUGGGUGAUCUGCCCUGUACUUUGGGAUAAGCCUGGGAAACUGGGUCUAAUACCGAAUAUGACAAUUGUUUGGAUGCGAUUGUGGAAAGCUUUUGCGGUAUGGGAUGAGCUCGCGGCCUAUCAGCUUGUUGGUGGGGUAAUGGCCUACCAAGGCGUCGACGGGUAGCCGGCCUGAGAGGGUGUACGGCCACAUUGGGACUGAGAUACGGCCCAGACUCCUACGGGAGGCAGCAGUGGGGAAUACUGCACAAUGGGCGCAAGCCUGAUGCAGCGACGCCGCGUGGGGGAUGACGGCCUUCGGGUUGUAAACUCCUUUCGCAACCGACGAAGCCUUUUGGUGACGGUAGGUUGAGAAGAAGCACCGGCUAACUACGUG
rnacentral:rRNA from 1 species